GUGUUUUCACGUUCUAUGGCGCUUCUUUGUUCAGGUAUUUCUUCUUGGAGCUAUUGCUAAACUUGGGGCGACUGUUGUGACUUAUCCCCUGCUUGUUGUGAAGAAUACAUACAAGCAGGCCUUCCAGCAUUGCAAGAUUAUCCCAAAGCAAACAACCUCUAGAAGUUCGUUAUCCACAUCAAACAGGUCAUCCUCUCCAAAUUCUUUGAGCAUUUCAGCAAUUUGUUUUGAAAGAAAUAUUAAGAAGUGGCAACAAUUCUUUGUCAAAAGCAGAAUUAAUGGAAGUUGUGUCAAGGUAUCUUGGUCAAAAGCAGAAUUAAGAAGUGGCACUGUAUGCAAACGAUUUGAAGACUUAAGGUCACAGCUUUCUUUACUAUUGUCUGUAGUUCAUGCUGUUUCUUUCUCUUUUUAGUUC